GCAACUGAUGGUGUGGCUGAUGUGAUUAGGUCCUAUUCAAGGGACAUACCUAUUAAGGGACACCAUCAUAGGACAUCACAUCAGCUGCCGCUGCCAUUAUGCAGCACAGAGACCAGGUCAGGCCAGCUCUGCAGCUGCGCUACCCCAGGAGCUCACAGCCCCAUCUGGCGCAUUGUGAGUUGGGGCUGCAGCGGAGAGGGGACAGUGGGGGAGGGACUGAGGGUGAGCCUCCCAGGCCAAGAGUUCAGGGGGUGGGCAGGAUGGUCCCACGGGCCGUAGUUUGCUCAUCCCGGUCUACAUAAUACUUAGUGUUGCAUUGAGUGCAGGGGACUGGACUAGACCUCUCGCUGGAGGUCCUUCCAGUCCUACAAUUCUAUGAUGGGAGUUCACACAUCAGGACUAUUAUUUCAGGCUGCCUGCAGACCAAAGCAGACAACACUUUUGGCAGGCUACCUUUGUUAACCAUGAGGACUAGAAACCUUAUUAAAAAAAUAGUUUAGAUUUGAAAGAAUCUGACUCUGCCCCUUCAUUCACAAAUGUGUCAGAUGGGCAAUGUGUUUGACACUUCUGCUCUGCUUAAGUAUACUUAAGUAAAUAUUAAGUCCUGAUAUCUCCAAGUAACAAAAUAGAGCUUGUUUUAUGUGAUCACAAUUUAUCUUGUGCUCCUGUAUGAUUGUCAGAGAAUGUGGUCAGCAGAAAGUCAAGUCUCUGGAGAAGGCUAGGUGCAUGUUGCAGACAGAGGCUCCUCUGAGAAUGGAACAUGAGGUCCCUAUAGGUUGACCAGACUCCCAAUAUUAGGGCCUUCAUCUUAUAUAGGCAACUAUGCCUCCCUCCAAAAAAGUGUCCCGAUUUUUUUGUACUUGCUAUCUGGUCAUCCUAGGGCCCUUGCAGCAGCAAGAGCUGGGAGGAUGCUGGGAAUGGAAUAAGAAGCCCUCUGUAGGAUGGCAGGUAUGAUGCAGAGACUUGGCUUAUUUAUUUUACAAGCACAUCAUAGUAGUAAAGCCAAAAAUACAACUGUAUGCCUGCCUCUUUAGGGGGGCAGAGCUGUGGCUCAAGCAAGUAUUUUAAAAAGGGUCUUCACUCUUCCAAGAUUUUGAAAAUGACACCUACUUCAAGCAUUAUGUCCAUUUCUUUUCUAGGAAUGGGUGGUGAUACCUGGAUCCUCAAGCACUUAGAGCCAUUCUCUCUGGAAUUAACUUGAUUAUCACACCAAGAUCUAUGGACUACUUUAAGUCUCCCAGAGCACUUUCAAUGACCCAUGGAGCUGCUGCUUCUAUCCUGGUGGAGUAUCUGGAGUCUAGUUGCUGCAGAAGAGAUGUGGGACCAGAAGGGGAAGUCUCCACAAGAAAAUCUCAAUCUUUUAAAAUAGUUUCCCAAU